UUGAAAUUUGGGCCCUGUUUUGAAAGCACAUGGGAAAUAGUGCUGCUUUGUUUGGUUGUGUUUGAAGUCGCCCUAGAGGGGGUCGGCCAAGUUUGUUUCUUUAGAGGGAUUUAUUUUGAUGGUAUGGGAAAAUUGUUUUUAUUUAUUUAGAUGCAGAUAAAUUGAGCAAUGCUGACUGUGUAUGUUGACAGCUGCUGGUGUAGAUCUGGAUAAAUGCUUGAACAUCAACUGAUUGUUAUAUCUGCUAUCUGCCAAUGAAGAUUUAUUAAUUGCUGUUUCUCCCGUGUUGCUUUUGUUUGGUUCCCUGGUUGGUCGGUCUCAGGAGUGUGCUGCAUGGUGGCAGCAUGUGUAUUGUGUGAAUUGUUUGUGUAUGAGUCCGGUUGGCUGGGGCUUUGUUUUUUAUUUUUUAUUUUUUUUAUUUUAUUUUAUUUCAUUUAUUUAUUUAUUUUUCAUUUAUUUAUUUUAUUGAUGAUACCUUCCCAGCUUUAUGUUGCCAGCUUAACUCUGGGUGCUUUUCGUGUGUGUGUGUGUGUGCAUCCCUUUGUGUAUAGGAUUUAAGUUUGCUGUGUUUUCUUUUGUAGGUAUGAGUGAAGGGUUAAGUUGUGUAUUAUUAUUUGAAUUGUGGUUAUUGCCUUUCGAGUGUUUAAUGUAAGAGGGAUGGCCCCCUAUGCCUGAAGGUUUGCCGCAUGCAACAAAAGCAGUCAUCAUAGUGAGAGAGUUGAGCUGGCUGUUAACCUUUUCGAGAGCUGGGACCAAUUCUGGAUGAGCUACUGGUAUCAAUUAUUUUAUGUUUAGGUGUUUGAUUUUGUGUAAUAUUUUCUGUCCUAUUUUGCAAUAAAUUUUUGUACCGUA